AGGAUUGGGGAGCACGUUUUGCGUCUUGCUGUGCGUGAGGAAGCGGGGAUCCAGGUCAAGGCUAUGGAAAGGCAGGACUUUGAAAUGACCCUGUCCUCAGCCUGGAGGAUGCGGUAUUCUGAUUGUCUGGUGCUGUGUCAACUGGGCCUGCCUCUGGGAUAGUGUUGUGGCUGCCCCACGAGAACCCUAUAUGCCAGUUCCAGAAGCAAAAACAAAAAAAGUUCGGGUACAGCGGCUCACACCUGUAAUCCCAGCUCUUAGGGAGAUGGAAACUGGAGGAUCACUUGAGGCCAGGAGUUCAAGACCAGCCUGGGCAACAUAGCAAGACCCAGUCUCUUAAAAGAAAAUUAAAAAGAAAGAGUAAAUAAAGUUCCAGAAGCUUUGCUCUCCUU
rnacentral:lncRNA from 1 species